GGCCAGGCUGGUCUCGAACUCUGGACCUCAGGUGAUCCACCCGCCUUGGCAUCCCAAAGUGCUGGAAUUACAAGCGUGAGCCACCGCGCCUGGCCCCAUACAUUCUUUUCAAGUGCCAACAGAAUAUAUGCCAAGAUGGACUACAUUCUGGGCCAUAAAACAAAUCUCAACAAAUUUAAAAGAAAUCAUACAGAGACAAUUUUGUUCACAGACAAAAAUGGAAUCAAACUAGAAAUUAAUAAUAGAAAGAUAAUAGUAAAAUCUCCAUACACUUGAAAACUAAGCAACACACUUCUGUAGAGUCUUUGAGUCAAAGAGGAAGUCUGAAAAAGAUGAACAAGUACCUUAAACUGAAUGAAAAUGAAAACACAACAUAUCAAAAUUUAUGGGACACAGCUAAAGGCGGGCCGAGAGGGAAAUAUAUAACACUAAAUGAAUACAUUAGAAAAGAGGUCUAAAUCAAUAAUUGAAGCUCCCAUCUCAAGAACCUGGAUAAAGAAGAGAAAACUAAAUCCAAGGCAGAAGGAAUAAAAUAAUACAAAUAAGAGGCAAAAUCAGUGAAGCUGGAAACAGGAAAACAAUGGAGAAAAUCAGUGAAGCAAAGGGCUAGUUCCUUGAUAAGAUCAGAGAGAGAGAGAGAGAGAGAGAGAGAGCAGAUUACUAUUAUCAGUAAUGAAACAGGAGAUAUCACUACAGACCUUGCAGACACCAAAAGAAUAAUAAGGGAGUAUUUUGAACAACUCUACACACAUAAAUUUGACAACCUAGAUGAAAUAAAUCAAUUCUUCAAAAAACACCAACUAUUUAAUACCACAAAUAGAUCUUUUUACUAGCCCUAUAGCUAUUAAGGAAAUCAAAAUUAUAAUUUAAAUUUAGCAGCCUAGAUGAAAUGGAUCAAUUCUUCAAAAAACACACACUAUCACAAAUAGAUCUUUUUACUAGCCCUACAAACUAUUAAGGAAACCAAAAUUAUAAUUUGAAAUUUCUCAAAAAUUAAGUCUCCAUGCCCAGAUGAUUUUGCCAGAGAAUUCUCCUAAAUGUUUAAAGAAGAAUUUUAAAAACUCUAUAAAAUAUCUUCCAGAAAACAGAAGAGAACACUUUCAAGUCUAUUUUAUGAAGCUAGUAUUACCCCGAGAGCAAAACCAGAGAAGACAGUAUAAAAAAGGAAUCUACAGAUUAAUAUCCCUUGUGAAUAUAGGCACAAACAUCCUUAGUAAAAUAUUAGCAAGACCAGGGAUCAUGGCGGAUGGGAGGCAGGACUAGGUUGCAGCUCCGGACAGAGCAGCGUGCUGAGGCUUGCAUUGUGAAUUUUAGCCCCAGGUCGACUGCAAGAACAAACCAGCAAUCCUGAGAGGACCCACAGACCCUCUGAAGGAAGUGGACUGCUCCUGCAGGACCCAGGAGACACCCCAAAUACUGAACUAUGUACUGAAGAUUUGGGGGCAAAAGAGGACCACAUCUGCAACUAACUGGAGAUGGUUCAGAAGAUGAUGCACACACACUCAAGCAUAUCGAGAGAGAAAGGGGCAGAGGACACAGAAGGCCCUGAGUUUAAUGUGCAUGUUUUGGGGAAUUUGGAAGAAGAGCCCCUGAUAAUUCAUCCUUCAUUAUUCUUGCAACUUUUCUCUAAAUCUGAAAUUAUAUUAA
rnacentral:lncRNA from 1 species